rnacentral:lncRNA from 1 species
UUAUAGUAUUAGAAUGGCACCCAAUACAUAGUUUGGAAUUUUUUAAAAUGUCAGCUAUUAUGAUGAUAACAAUGGUGGCUUACAAGACCUUUGACCAUCUGGCUUCCCUCUCCAAGCAUGCCAAAUUAAUCACACUUCUUAAACACAUCUCUUGACCGGGGUGUUCUCACCAUGCCCUUUCUACAAACAAAAAGAAGGCAAUGUAUCGCAUCCUGUAUUACCUUCCCCUGACCUCAUAGCUUCCCAAAACAGGAACAAUCAUGGGCUUUGAAGAAUGAAGAUGUGGAGACCUGGAGACAGGUGGCACCUCGUGCUUCCUCCGAAGGGAGAGCCCAUUUCCUAACAGCUGGAUCAAAGGCAUGAAAUGAACAUGGAGUCCCUGAAGAUGAAGAGAAGGCAUGGCUUCCAGGGAGAAAUUGUACAUUACAGGAAUGCAGAUGUGAUUCCUAUGGAUGAGGGUAACCUAGAGGCUAGAAGAACAAUAGGACAGAAGAAGCCUGGGUCCCUGAACAA